CCUACGGGUGGCAGCAGUAGGGAAUCUUCCACAAUGGACGAAAGUCUGAUGGAGCAACGCCGCGUGAGUGAAGAAGGGUUUCGGCUCGGAAAGCUCUGUUGGUAGUGAAGAAAGAUAGAGGUAGUAACUGGCCUUUAGUUGACGGUAAUUACUGAGAAAGGCACGGCUAACUACGUGCCAGCAGCCGCGGUAAUACGUAGGUGGCAAGCGUUGUCCGGAUUUAUUGGGCGUAAAGCGAGUGCAGGCGGUUCCAUAAGUCUGAUGUGAAAGCCGUCGGCUCAACCGGAGAAUUGCAUCGGAAACUGUUGAACUUGAGUGCAGAAGAGGGGAGUGGAACUCCCUGUGUAGCGGUGAAAUGCGUAGAUAUAUGGAAGAACACCAGUGGCGAAGGCGGCUCUCUGGUCUGCAACUGACGCUGAGGCUCGAAAGCCUGGGUAGCGAACAGGAUUAGAUACCCUUGUAGUC
rnacentral:rRNA from 1 species